UUCAUCCAGGCUUGGGACUGGCCCUGAGAGUCAAUCCCUAUGAGCUGCAGUGGUGAGAGCGCAGGAUCCUGCUGCUGGACCACCAAGGACCCCAGAGGAUUGCAGUAGCAGACAGACAGACAGGGGGCAGAACCAAAGCUUGAUCCCUACUACUCUCUCUUCAGGAAGUGAUGUCUGUCACAAAGGAUUGCCAUUAGCAGGAUUUGGGCGUGGACUGCUCGCCUGACUGCUUUUUGUGGACACAACAGCAUGUUCCUGUUGAUAUUAUCUCCAAGUCUGCUCAGCAUGGGGGUCACCUGCCAAUGUUUGGAUAUCAAAUGGACCAGAACUGGCAAAAUAAAGACAUGGCUUAGGAUGUUGUGGAAAUUAUACAGCACCCUUUAAGCAGAAAGGGUUAAGGGGCAGCUUGGCUGGGGCUUGAACAUCCAACUUUCCAAUCAACAGCCCAGGACCAUCUCAGCCACCACUGCCCUCAGUGGAGAGAUGUGCAGCCUAGAGACCGGGACCUCACUCACCAGAGCCUGCAGCCCUGACCACUCCAACACAGCAGAAGAAAAUCUACAGGAAAGGCCACAUAUGGGUGUCAUUGUCAGUUGUCAUCAAAUGUUUGGUCACAUUUGGUGUAUCAAAUGAUAAUGUAUUUGUUAUAUUAGGCAGGUUUUACAUAGCUUAAUGCUUUCAUUAAUAAGUUAGUGAUCAUAAUAUGAUAAUGGCUUACACAAGCUUUAUUUCACCACCACUUCCAGUUUUUAUCGCUGCUCAGCAAGUGAUCGCACUGCUUACAUCAGACAAUAAAGUCUAACCUUGAUGACCCUUCCUCUGUACGUCUCCGGUAUCCAUGUAUAUCUAACUGUUUAGCUCACCUCCUCUUGUUCUGAGGCACCACCCCACUGCACCCCAUCCCCCUUUCAC